UAGUCCACGCUGUAAACGAUGUCUACUAGCCGUUGGGUUCCUUGAGGACUGAGUGGCGCAGCUAACGCGAUAAGUAGACCGCCUGGGGAGUACGGCCGCAAGGUUAAAACUCAAAUGAAUUGACGGGGGCCCGCACAAGCGGUGGAGCAUGUGGUUUAAUUCGAUGCAACGCGAAGAACCUUACCAGGUCUUGACAUCCUGAGAAUCUUGUAGAGAUACGAGAGUGCCUUCGGGAAUUCAGUGACAGGUGCUGCAUGGCUGUCGUCAGCUCGUGUCGUGAGAUGUUGGGUUAAGUCCCGUAACGAGCGCAACCCUUGUCCUUAGUUGCUACCAUUAAGUUGAGAACUCUAAGGAGACUGCCGGUGACAAACCGGGAGGAAGGGUGGGGACGACGUCAAGUCAUCAUGGGCCCUUACGACCUGGGGCUACACACGUGCUACAAUGGGCAGUACAAAGGGCAGCGAAUCCGCGAGGUGGAAC
rnacentral:rRNA from 1 species